rnacentral:rRNA from 1 species
UACGUAGGGUGCAAGCGUUGUCCGGAAUUAUUGGGCGUAAAGAGUGUGUAGGCGGCCCGACCAGUCCGCUGUGAAAGUCCAGGGCUCAACCCUGGAAUGCCGGUGGAUACUGUCGGGCUAGAGUCCGGAAGGGGCGAGUGGAAUUCCUGGUGUAGCGGUGAGAUGCGCAGAUAUCAGGAGGAACACCGGUGGCGAAGGCGGGUCUCUGGGCCGGAACUGACGCUGAGGAGCGAAAGCGUGGGGAGCGAACAGG